rnacentral:rRNA from 1 species
GUGUCAGCCGCCGCGGUAAUACGUAGGGUGCGAGCGUUGUCCGGAAUUAUUGGGCGUAAAGAGCUCGUAGGCGGCCUGUCGCGUCGGAUGUGAAAGCCCGGGGCUUAACCCCGGGUCUGCAUUCGAUACGGGCAGACUAGAGUGCGGUAGGGGAGACUGGAAUUCCUGGUGUAGCGGUGAAAUGCGCAGAUAUCAGGAGGAAUACCAAAGGCGAAGGCAGUGUCCUGGCUGGUGACUGACGCUGAGGUGCGAAAGCUAGGGGAGCGAACGGGAUUAGAUACCCCUGUAGUCC